UGAUGUGUGUAAUUAUACCUUGCUUUUUUUUUAUGUAGCUGCAAAUCAAUUACAAAGUGCUGAAGUGAACAAGCCAGAACCACAAAGUGCUGACGUAAAGGAAAUGAAAGCCUCUGGUGAGGACAGUGAGAGAGAGGAGCUGUGGCGUCUCCACGACGAUGUGUUUUAUCUGUUCUGGGAGGCUGAGGGGAACUGCAGCGAGGCCCUGAAGUUCUGUAAAGAUAGAAACUCAGAAAUUGCCACCACUUCAGGCUGGGAUAGAUUUGAUCACUGGAUGUUUCUGGAUGAAUCUUUUCACCACCCUGCAAAUCCUGAUCACGAGCUCUGGAUUCUGUCUCAGGCAAACGGGAGGAAGCUGUGGGUGAAUAUGGAUAGUGAUACGACUGGACCCUUGAAUGAGACCUUCCGUCAUUGUCCACCAGAUGAAGAAACCCCAGGAAACGCAGAGGGAAUGCAGGGCUGGGUGUGUGAAAUCAGACCACGACAUUUAAGUCAUAGACAUUAUCGACAUUUUCUAAGUCGUAGACGUUAUCUUGAGGAUUAUGAAGAUUAUUUUGGAGAUAUUGUACCAGAUUAUGACACAGCAGCACCUGAGCAUGAGAUCCCUGCACUGUCUGUUCUCUCUGUGAAGAUCUACAUUAUUACACUCUGUUCUGGCUUUACUGUACUUCUGAACCUUCUCUGAGUUUGUGCAGAUCUGACCAUGUUCAGGACUGUGAAAACCUCCAAUGUUCAGUCUUCAGCUGGUCAUUUUCUAAAGUAAAUCAAACACAUUCAGGGAUGCUGAAGUCUGGACUGUGGGGUGGUCAGUCCAUUGGUUUAAGAACGCCAGUAUAGAAGCUCUAAUAAAAAGUUUGUUACUUUCCUGAUGCAAAACAAAUGAACUUGUACUUAAUGACUCUUGGAAAUUAAUGACAGGGGUCUCUGAGAUUCACAGUUCUGUGUUACCGUAAUCUGAAUGUCAAUGUAAAUAACCUGUUUCCAAAGCUGCUUCCAGAAGAUCUGCUUUUGUAGAGGUUGUCACAAAACUUUUGAUUAGAAUUUGAUCUUCAUUCCUGUGGAAGCUGAUUUUUCCUCCACAUCGCUUGAUUUUGUACCAAUGAGCUUUUAGCUGAAUAAAUCUGACUUUGUGUGAUCUGUGGUGUCUUGGCUGUUACUAAAGA
ensembl:lncRNA